rnacentral:rRNA from 1 species
CGACGAAUAAUACCCUAUGACAUAAACUCUUACGCAUGAAGAACUUAUCAAAGAUUUAUCGGUGUAAGAUGGACUCGCGUCUGAUUAGCUAGUUGGUGAGGUAACGGCCCACCAAGGCGACGAUCAGUAGCCGGCUUGAGAGAGUGUACGGCCACAUUGGGACUGAGACACGGCCCAGACUCCUACGGGAGGCAGCAGCG